CUACGUGCCAGCAGCCGCGGUAAUACGGAGGGUGCGAGCGUUAAUCGGAAUAACUGGGCGUAAAGGGCACGCAGGCGGUGACUUAAGUGAGGUGUGAAAGCCCCGGGCUUAACCUGGGAAUUGCAUUUCAUACUGGGUCGCUAGAGUACUUUAGGGAGGGGUAGAAUUCCACGUGUAGCGGUGAAAUGCGUAGAGAUGUGGAGGAACACCGGUGGCGAAAGCGGCUCUCUGGCUUGUAACUGACGCUGAGGCUCGAAAGCGUGGGGAGCAAACAGGAUUAGAUACCCUGGUAGUCCACGCUGUAAACGCUGUCGAUUUGGGGAUUGGGCUUAAAGCUUGGUGCCCGUAGCUAACGUGAUAAAUCGACCGCCUGGGGAGUACGGCCGCAAGGUUAAAACUCAAAUGAAUUGACGGGGGCCCGCACAAGCGGUGGAGCAUGUGGUUUAAUUCGAUGCAACGCGAAGAACCUUACCUACUCUUGACAUCCAUGGAAUCCUGUAGAGAUACGGGAGUGCUUCGGGA
rnacentral:rRNA from 1 species